AGAGUUUGAUCAUGGCUCAGAACGAACGCUGGCGGCAGGCUUAACACAUGCAAGUCGAGCGCCUCGCAAGAGGAGCGGCAGACGGGUGAGUAACACGUGGGAAUCUACCCAUCCUUACGGAACAACUCCGGGAAACUGGAGCUAAUACCGUAUACGCCCUUCGGGGGAAAGAUUUAUCGAGGAUGGAUGAGCCCGCGUUGGAUUAGCUAGUUGGUGGGGUAAAGGCCUACCAAGGCGACGAUCCAUAGCUGGUCUGAGAGGAUGAUCAGCCACAUUGGGACUGAGACACGGCCCAAACUCCUACGGGAGGCAGCAGUGGGGAAUAUUGGACAAUGGGCGCAAGCCUGAUUCAGCCAUGCCGCGUGAGUGAUGAAGGCCCUAGGGUUGUAAAGCUCUUUCACCGGAGAAGAUAAUGACGGUAUCCGGAGAAGAAGCCCCGGCUAACUUCGUGCCAGCAGCCGCGGUAAUACGAAGGGGGCUAGCGUUGUUCGGAUUUACUGGGCGUAAAGCGCACGUAGGCGGAUCGAUCAGUCAGGGGUGAAAUCCCAGAGCUCAACUCUGGAACUGCCUUUGAUACUGUCGAUCUGGAGUAUGGAAGAGGUGAGUGGAAUUCCGAGUGUAGAGGUGAAAUUCGUAGAUAUUCGGAGGAACACCAGUGGCGAAGGCGGCUCACUGGUCCAUUACUGACGCUGAGGUGCGAAAGCGUGGGGAGCAAACAGGAUUAGAUACCCUAGUAGUCC
rnacentral:rRNA from 1 species